ACAUCAACAACUGUUACCCCAGAGUGUUCCAAAUAACAUGUCAUCUGCUGGAGUUCAAAGUUCUACUGGUUUACAAUCUGGGAUGCCUUCUGUGUCUGGUCCAACCCAGAAUUCUAUACCUAAUGUUGUUGGCCAGAAUUCCAACAUGCAAAACUUGUCUGAAAUUUCACAGAACUCACUGGGGCAAGGGAUAUCUUCCAAUAUUUGUACUAAUCAUCAGAGGCAAAUGCAAGGAAGGCAACAGGUGCUACCGCAACAGCAGCAGCACCUUUGCUUGCAGGGUUCGAAAUUACCUGCACCUGACACACCUGGUAAUGGUAUGUCAACAUCACCUUUGCUUGCAGGGUUCGAAAAUGCUAAUGAUACUCACAGUAAUGCUUUAACAACUGAUUUUGGCGAGUCGAAGGAUACAGAAGAGCCACAUGUUCCCAGAGUUACCAUGGUUAGUGGAGCUUAAUUAAUUUUCAUUCUUCGCAUGCUCUUUUUUCAAUUUUCCCCUUUGACUUGAUAUGUUGUUCAUGUGGUGAAAGAGUGGUAAAAAAGCUUGAAAUCCUUCUCUUUUGUUUUUUUUCCUUUUGAUUUUAUCUUCUAGUAUAGUUUGUUUUAGCUUUUGAAAUGAUUUUGGUCUAUUACUAUUUGGUAUGUUUCAGGCAAAACCCAUGUCACUUAAAUCAUUGGAGGCAUCUGUUGUCGUCAUGGUUGAGGAGGCAGCCACUGCCGUUGGUGUGGAUAUGGCCGUCUUGAGCAAGGGUGGUCUGCAUCGAAGAAAUUUCCUUCCACAAACUGGAAUGACUGGAGCCGAGAAAAUGAGAUUCUACAUGAGUGCACUGGCUAUAUUAGCUCUAAUGUUUUGGUUCAUUAUAAUAGCAUCUGCAUGAGCAGUAGCAAACAAAUUUCCAAAGCUUUUAAUAUUUGGUUAAAGGAGGAAAGACGCAUUGGUUAUGGCAUGGAUUUCUCUCCUAAUAAGUCAUGACUAUUGACUGAUGAUACUAUUACGACAAAUUGUUGACAGGUGUUUGCUUAUUUAAAGGUUUUUGAACUUGUUUACAUUCCUAUCAAAUAUAUUAGGAGAUGCAUGCAUCAAAGUUCAUGCCGUUUAAGCCUCAGUGCAUGCAGUUUCUGACCAAUCUAGCCAUGUAAUAACACUAAUUAUCUAACUAAACACAUAAUUUGACCCUAGCUUUUUUUAUCAAGUGACAAGGGUGUUUAGGGUUUUAUGUUUGGGUCGAUCUAAGGUUAUUCAAUGCCUUUAGGUGAAGAGCCAUCUAGAUUAGAAAUACCUAGAUGUAAUAAGGGAUAAUGAUCACUUUUAUUUUUCAAGAGGAAAGAGAGAAAAAGAAGGUAAAGUUGGUAUUGAUUUGACGAAAUGUCACAUUUGUAGUCAAAUUUGCUAAAUAUUUAUUGAUGGAAGUGGACCCUUGCAUGUAAUGCACUGCCUGCAGAAAUUGGUCCCCUUUUAUUGCUUAAGAUUCUUACUCACUAAGGGAUCUUUCUUUUCUUUUCUUUUUUUUUUUAAUAAUAUCAUUAUGACUAUUCUUAGAUUUUGCGGAAAUUUAAUUUUUUAGAUAAUUUUAAGAAUAUAUUUUUUCAUAUAAAUCUCAUGUAUAUACUUUUUUUUUUGUUCAAAAUAUGUCAUUUAUUAAUUUUAACAAAUUUUAAGAAAAAAAUUUAGAUUUUAGUGUGUUUAAUUUUAAAAUUUAAAAAUUUUUUUAAAUUAAAGUUUUAAGACUUUUAAUGUCAAAAAGUUAAAAAAAUCUAAAAUUUAAUUUUAAAAUAUAAAAAAUAAAUUUUUUAAAUGUUAAAAAAAUCCAACAUUAUUUGAGACAUUUCAAAAAGGAAAGAUUGAAAAAAAAAAGGACAAAAAGAAUAUGAUUUUAUUUUUAUAUAUUUUUCAUAAAAAAUGAAUCCUAAUUAAUACGAAUAAAAAUGUAAAAAAAAAAAAGAAAAAGACAACCACAGAAAUCCAAACUUGGAAGGAAAAAAAAAAAAAAAGAUUAAGUGGGCAACUUCAACAAGCAAGGUUCGCAUUAAUAAAUUCCAAAUGUUGCCAUGUAAUUGUAACCUAAUCAUUUUCACUAAAAUUACUACAACAAUUUUGAUUUUAACUGGCGAUUUUUGAUUAAAAAUGUAAAUGAUAAAUUAAUAUUCAUAAGGUAUUUGGGUUCGAUUUGAAUAAAACUCAAAUUCGAUUUGAUUAUUAUUAAAUCAAGUUCGAGUUCGAAUAACUCGAUUCAUCGAUCGAAUCGAGUUUGAAUAUUUUAAUAUUCAGUUCGAGUAAUUUGUUAGUGUAAUCGAAUUUUUAUAUUUAAAAUUUUUUUAUUAUUUUAAUAAAUAAAAUAUCUCAAAUUCGAGUUCGAAUUCAAGCACAAAUAAUCAAGUUUUUAUUGAGCAUAAAAAUUAAACUUAUUUUUAUAUAUUUUUUAGCUUAAUCGAACGAAUUCAAAUAGUUUGAAUUCGAUUACGAAUCGAAUUCAAAAUAAAAAAAAAAAUUCAAUCGAAUUUAAAUUAAAUAUCAAAUAACGAGUUGAGAAUCAAGCUAUAAUUUAAAAUUUUCAUUAUAUCACUUAACUCUUACUUUUGACAAUAAUUUUGUGAAAAAGUGAAAGAGUGGCUUAAGAAAUUUUAGCCCACGAUUUUUACCGUUGUCAAAGGUAAACUUUUUGUAGUAAGGAAGUGAUAAACUCAAUGGCCUUCAAGUUUUUUCUUUUUUUCUUGCUUUCGAAUCUAAGAGCACCAUUUUUUUUUUCGUGCUAAUCGACUUGCUAGAAUUUUUUUUUUUUUAAUUUGAAUUCAAAAAUUUUAAUUUUAAAAUCAAUUUUAAUAUUAUUAAAUUAAUUUAUCAUUAUUCAUUAUUAAGUAAAAUUUUAUAUAUCAAUCUUAAAGAUGAAUUAUAAUUAUUAUACAUCAAAUUCAAUUUUUAUCUAUUUUAAUGUAUAUUGUAUUUUCCUUGAUAACAUAUUGAUUUGUUAAGAAUUGAUUUUCUUUUAUGUAAAAACUUGUUUAUUUGACUAAUUAUGUUUGUAAUAUUUAUUUGUAAAUGUAUUAAGCUAAUUAUGUCUCAUAAAAGAAUUUGGGUCUUGGAAGAAAAUUGAAUAAUUUAGUUAAAUUAUAUAAUAAUCAACUAAUACUUCAUUAUUAUAAAUAAAUGAAUUACAACUAGAUCUAUUAAAUUAUAAAAAAAUUACAAUUAAAUUUGAUAAUUUUAAAUAUGAUAUAUUGAUAUAAUAUAAAAAUUAUAUAAAAAGUAAAAAAAAUAAUAUGAUUUAGGAUUUUAAACAAAAUAAUAUGAAAUUUAAAUAACAAAAAAUAUAUUUUAUUUUUAACGUAUUAAUAUAAAUUUUGCAAUGAUAAUUUUAAACAAAUUAAAUACAAAAUAAACAUGAAAUAAAUAUAAAAAUUAUCUAAUUACAACACUCCUUAUUAAGUUGGUUAGGAAAUUAGGAAAAUUUUCACCAUUGAUUUUGUAUCAAUUUUGUCAAAAAAUAUAAGAAGAAAAAAUCAAAAGAAUUUCACAUUUUCCAAUACAAGUUUUUUAUAAAAACAAUACUAACAUAUUUUAUUUUGAUAAAUAAAUUUCAAACAGACAAAUUAUUUACAAAUAAAAUAACAUUAAAAUUUGAAUCUAAAAUUAUUUUUUAACUGAAGUGUAGGAACCAACUUUAAUUGCUUCAAUUAAUUUUAUUAUAACAAAAAAAUGGUUAAUUCCAAAAUAAAAAUGCAUGAUUGCAAAAAUAAUGUCAACAAAAAAAAAAAUUUGAAAGAGAAAAUUCAAAAGUGUAAGGAAGGAAAACAAUAAAAGUCAAAAUUGAGAAAAAAAAAUCAAAAUUAGGGUUUUUUUUUUUCUUUUUUAAAUCGUCAUUAUUUGUGGACAUGAAAAAAAAAAAUAAAAACAAAAACCCAGACAAUUUGCAAAGAUAUGUCCCUAUAAAAGCCAUUGCCAUGCACUUCAAUCCAACACAUGACCUUCUUUCCCUCCUCACCGUCUUAGCUUCUUUUAUCUCUUUCUUUUCUCUCACUUUCUUUUCAACCACACAAAUAAAUUUCAGUUGGUUGUCCUCCUUUUAUUUUCUUCUAACAAUAUUUAUUUAUACGUUAGAGUUAGAUAUUUUUCCAAUUAUGCCAAAAAGAAACAAAAAAGAAAUUUUAUAAUUUAUUCUCCGUAUAAUCAAAGAUAAUCUGAGGCGUGGGUUUAAUUCAAUCUGGGAUUUGGUAUUUGAAAAAAAAAAUUCUUGAGGAAUUGUCGAAGCGGAUUUCUCUUAGGAGCUCUUCGUUGAGGUAAAAAUUUCAAACUUUUUAUAGGUUUUACGAUUCUGUUGCCUUAAUUUCCUCGAAAAUCUUACCUGGGAAUAUGUUUUUGACUGUAAGAAUAAAAGAUUUCAUUUUUUAUUUAAUAUCACCAGGUAAUUAACUUUGUAUUUUUUUAAUCGUUUUGCUGUAAAAAAAAUUAGAAAGCUUGCUAGAAUAUUUGGAUACUCAAUAAUGAAAGCAACCCCCAAAAGCAGAUUAUUUCUAUUAAACAUAAUUUAAAUCAUGGAUUUUGUUAAUAUUUCUCAUUCUCUUUCUCUUUGUUUUUUCAUUUAAUGAUAUAUGAUAAAGUUCUAGUUAUGGGGGCUGAUUUCAUUGGGAAAAUGUCAAAUAUUUAGCUAGAAAAGUUUCAAGUGCAGUUGUUUUUGGUUAGAAGGCUCAACCUUCUAACCGUGAGCCUUGGUAGCAUUCUCAGAAGCCAACUAACAAUUAAUUCUUUAGUGAAUAGCAAUUGGUUGAGUAUUAGAACUGCUUUCCAGUGAUGUGCUGGUCUAGUGGUGAAAGUAGUGGUGUUUUAGUGAGUUACAGUCCUCCUUAGGCGGAUGACCAAUGGCCUAGGACAGAGAGAAAAAUCGGAAUCUUAAGAGCCUUGUGAAGAAGGGUUACCUAGUAUUAGUAUUAAAUCAACCAAAUUGACAUCCAAUUGUAAAGUUGUGGUUUACAUAGCGAACUAUCAUGUUCAACUUAAGUCAUGGUUGUAGGGUGUCUGUGAGUGUCUAGUAACAUGUCCUGUCAUUUUGUAAGAGUGCGGCAAAUGAUGUAUACUGUCCAAUUUAUCUUAAAACAUUAACAAAAAUGAAAUCCUGCUCUUAUGUAUAAAUUUAUGGUUGCAAAAACUGUGUUUUACCCGGAGUUUCUUAUCAAGAGAAGGGGGGUGUUUAUUGAAAAGAACUUUGUCAAAUGUUUUGCAUAUUUGAGUAGUGAUUUGUGUCCAAACGUACAAGUUUUUCUUUUUCACUUCCUUUAAUUUAUGACAAAAAAUUUGAUCUGAAUUGUUUGUAACUUUUCUUCUCUCUUUUGAUGUUGUCAGAAUUUGAUGGAUACCAAUAACUGGAGGCCUACUCCUGCCAGUGGAGAGCCCACCAUGGAUGCAGGUGAUUGGAGAACCCAGUUGCAGCCUGAUUCACGACAAAGAAUUGUCAACAAGAUGUAAGUGAAUUUUAUGGUAUUAUUAUUUGUUAAAUAUACUUGUUGUAUUUAAGUUACCGAUAUUCUGUGGCUUGUCUUUCACGGUUUCAAUAUUGUUAAUAACCAAACAAUACCAUCAAUAAAACCAUAUUUCCUAUUCCAGAAUGUUUUCUUUGUUUUGUAAAUACAUAGCUCGAAAAUCAAAGCUUGCUCUUACCCAGAGUUUGGGCACAAUGUAUGGGCCACGUAUCUGGAAGCCUAAUGUGGCUAAGCUAUUGGUGGCAUACUUGGUAUCGUCAUUUAAUGAAUUUAUGUGAUUGAAUGAGGAUAAAAUUUGCUUUUAGAUCUUUUGCUUCUUGUAAGCUUGGGACUUGUGUUCUCAUUUGAGUGCUACAGUAUAUGAAUUGAUGGUUCUCUUUUCUUCUUACUAACUGAAUUAUACCCAUUCAUUAUAUAACUUAUAGCUGUAACGGACACUAGUGGUCUUGCUUUUCUAUAUCAUUUUAUGAACGAUGGUUAUUUUGGUAUGUGGUCUAUUUGAAUGUAGCUGAUAUAUGAAGGUCAUGAUGGCCACUUUGUUUAUUGGGGGGAACUUUGUUAAAUUCCAAUGCCAUGGCUUCUGGAUGUUUAAAUGAGACAGUCCUGAACAAGUUGAAGAUGAAAAUCUUUUGGUGGUCAGAUUAUAUCCUGGUUAAUUUUCAUUUGAUUUUAUGUUAACUUCACAGUUUGGUCAUGGCAUUCUUUUAUUAACCAUGGAAGAUUCUUAUAUAUAUCCUAUUGGUGUGUCAAUAACUUACACAAUGCCUUGUGUACAUAGAAUGGACACAUUGAAGAGGCUCCUUCCAUUUUCUGGCCAAGAGGGUUUAUAUGAACUCAGGAAAAUCGCAGUAAGGUUUGAGGAAAAGAUUUUUACAGCAGCAAACAGCCAGGUAAUCAUAGAAUAUUGGCAUUCCUUAACCUUCUUGGAUGCAUUGUUGUUUGCCUAUAUUUUGUUUGUUUGCGUUGUGUGUAUGUAUCUUUGUGUUUCUUUUUUUUUCUUAUUCAUAUGUAUAGACAUGCAUACACCUAGACUUCUUGUCAAUUACAUUGGAAGUAAAUAAGAAAGAAAUCCAGGUAGGAAAGAGAGCAGAGGUAGGAAAAAACAAAAAUGCUUGAUGCUAACUCAUUAUUAAGCAUGGUUAAUAUAACAUAUUCGAUAAUCUUGUCUUGUAUUUGAAUAAUGAAGUAAAGCUUAUUUACUCUAAUGCCGUAAUGGAUUUCUAUAUUCAGUCGGAUUAUCUGAGGAGAAUAUCCUUGAAGAUUCUUACUAUGGAGAACAAGUCUCAGAAUACUAUGCCCAACUCUGGGAAUAACAGCACGCCCCCUGAUCCAGGUAAUAGCAGGAAACAGCAUUUUGCUUUGAUGUAUGCUACAAGUAGGACAUUUUCCGUUUACAUGUCCUUUCUGUUCUUUAACAUGCAGAGUUGUUUAACUUGCAACAUUUAUGCACAUAUUCUUUCUGCAGCUAUUUGAAUGAAAAAUACCUAUAUUUUAACUCUUUUGUCCCUUAACAAAGCGUGGUUGUUUUGGUGGGUUGGAGUUGUUUAAGGGAUUGAUUUGAUGAGCACCCAAACAGAAAGGCCUAUUUGCUGUUCCCGUGAUUGUAGUCUUUCUGCAUGGGAUGCACCUCUUCAUGUGCUAGCCUAGGAAUAAUUUGAUUAUUUUUUCAUGAUCCUCAUGGUAUGAUUCAAUUGCCCUCACAUGUUUUAAGUCUAGUUAUCUUUUUGAAUGAAUUAAUUACUGCUUCAGUAUUUUUGUUGUUUAUCUUGUUCUAAAUGUUCUUCAAUUCAGUUCUUGUGGGUUCUUCCCAACCUUCCUUUCUGAAUAUAAAAAUCUUGGGUAGGUUCUCAGGGCAUGCAAAACCAAGUUCACGGUCAAGGGCAAUCAAUUCCUAUCCCAUUACAAAGUAAUCCGUCUCAAGCACGUCAACAACUGUUACCCCAGAGUGUUCCAAAUAACAUGUCAUCUGCUGGAGUUCAAAGUUCUACUGGUUUACAAUCUGGGAUGCCUUCUGUGUCUGGUCCAACCCAGAAUGCCAUACCUAAUGUUGUUGGCCAGAAUUUCAACAUUCAAAACUUGUCUGAAAUUUCACAGAACUCACUGGGGCAAGGGAUAUCUUCCAAUAUUUUUACUAAUCAGCAGAGGCAAAUGCAAGGAAGGCAACGG
rnacentral:lncRNA from 1 species